GAAAUGCGAUAAGUAAUGUGAAUUGCAGAAUUCAGUGAAUCAUCGAAUCUUUGAACGCACCUUGCGCCCUCUGGUAUUCCGGAGGGCAUGCCUGUUUGAGUGUCAUGUAGACUCAAUCCCUCGGGUUUCCGAGGAGAUUGGACUUGGGUGUUGCCGCUCUGCCGGCUCGCCUUAAAAGACUUAGCGGGAUAGCACCGUAGUCGGCGUAAUAAGUUUCGUCGGUGAAGGUUGUGAUGACUGCUUACAAUCGCCCUCGGGCAAUUUUUGACUCCGACCUCAAAGCAGGCAGGAGUACCCGCAGAACUUAAGC
rnacentral:misc_RNA from 1 species